rnacentral:rRNA from 1 species
UGCCAGACUCCUACGGGAGGCAGCAGUGGGGAAUAUUGCACAAUGGGGGGAACCCUGAUGCAGCGACGCCGCGUGAGUGAAGAAGUAUUUCGGUAUGUAAAGCUCUAUCAGCAGGGAAGAAAAUGACGGUACCUGACUAAGAAGCCCCGGCUAACUACGUGCCAACAGCCGCGGUAAUACGUAGGGGGCAAGCGUUAUCCGGAUUUACUGGGUGUAAAGGGAGCGUAGACGGUUAUGCAAGUCUGAAGUGAAAGCCCAAGGCUCAACCAUGGGACUGCUUUGGAAACUGUAAAACUGGAGUGCAGGAGAGGUAAGCGGAAUUCCUAGUGUAGCGGUGAAAUGCGUAGAUAUUAGGAGGAACACCGGUGGCGAAGGCGGCCUGCUGGACUGCAACUGACGUUGAGGCCCGAAAGCGUGGGGAGCAAACAGGAUUAGAUACCCUCGUAC